GCAUUCAUGGUUCAGUGGUAGAAUUCUCGCUUUCCAUGUGGAAGACUCGGGUUCGAUUCCCAGUCAAGGCA
rnacentral:tRNA from 1 species